AGCACUCAUGACUGAUGAAUUAUUGUCAAGGACAAACUAAGGUUUAACAGGAUGGCCUACUACAAAUGGUGAAUAAAAUGAGAGCAAACUUGGGAAAGCAACUGCAAAGGCUCUGUAUUGGGUGGAAGACCCUGGCACGGAGGAGACUACACCAGGGGACACAGAUAUGGGAGCAAAUGACUUCAAAAUAAUGUGGUAGGAGCUCUAACAGUGGUCAGCACCGGGCACCAGAGGAGCACUGAAGAGAUUGCCUAA